UUCUGCUCAUUUCAUAACUCUGGAUGAGCCUCAUUAUAAAAUAAAAUAGUCAAUUAAAAUGUACUCUAUGAAAACUGUAAAAUUCUGAACGGAAAGCAACAGGAUAGAGGUAAGUGGUGAAAAUUUCCAGAAUCCACAGGGAGGUGACAAAGAAAGUGUCACUAAAUCGUUUUGGCAGAGUGAAAAAAGAAAAGAAGUUGAUAUGUUGGGGAGGCAUUUGUCACUCUAACCAGAAAACAAAAGCCACUUUAAGUAUCUUUACAAAGGGAAAUUAAUCGGGGAACUGAUUAUACACAAUGGAAAAGCUAUACAUCCUAAGGGGUCAGGAGGCAAGCCUGAGAUUCCCAGCUGAAGGCUAGAGCACCUUCUCAACCUAGGUACUCCUGACAUUUCCAGUGGGGAACUGUUUGCUGUCAGCAGUUGUCCUGUGUUUCAUCAUGUUUACCCUUCAUCUCUGGCCAUUAUCCACUAAAUGCUGGUAGCAUGCCCCUCCCCAAGUUGUAACAACCUAAAAUAGCUCCAGACAUUGCUAAAUGUCCCUUGAGUAAAUUUGUGUGCAGUGGUGGGGGGUGGGUAGUAGACAGACAUGCCCCCAGAUGAGAACCACUGAUUUUGGAAGGAGCUCACCUCACCACUAAUUGUCUAAGCCUCAGUUUCCACAAAAACUGGAUCUUCCCUGACAUCAUCGUUUAUUAUUCAUGGUGGUAGCUGAUAAGAGGAGAGAUAAUGCAGCCAGGGACAGAUGACUUCAGCUGUCACUCUACAUACCGUCUCCUACACCACAGAGAGCAAGGAAAGACAAUGAGGGUGAGCCUGCAAAUCUCUGACUCAAGAGGACCUGGGUGAGAUGUCACACUGCAAACAGAGGUAAAGGUAGAGUCAGCUCUAUCUGAAACACAGACUGAAUAAGAGAAGAGUGGUUUCCCCAGAGGAAACAUGGGGUAACAAUAAUAAUCAUAUGGAGAGGAAGCAAGGAAAUACUGGGUAGAGAAGGGCGGUUCCCUGGCAAGGGCCUCAUUCUCAUGCCUGGAAACUCACGGGAAUAGGC
rnacentral:lncRNA from 1 species